rnacentral:lncRNA from 1 species
UGCAGCCCGAUUAGCUUACCACAUCGAAUGUUGUGACAAAUUUGAAGUCAAGGUCGCCGAUGGACGGAUUUUAACCUGUGACAGCAAGUGCUCAAAGAUAAAACUAAUUUUGCAAGGUCAAGAAUUAUUUGUGGAUUUCUUUUUAUUACCCUUGGAAGACUAUGAAGUGGUGCUCGAAAUUGAAUGGCUAUCAACCCUAGGUGAUGUCUCCUGGAA